rnacentral:sRNA from 1 species
GGAAAACGUGACAGUGUUGCUGUCCAGGGGCUAGCGUCCAACCUUAAUUUUAGAUUUGGAGUUUUGGGAGAGAGUAGAGAGGUCCUUGGUGGGAGGUGAACGAAAAUCCUAAGUGUUCUAAGUGUGGAGACUGACUUGGUCUAGCAAGGAAGAGAGGAAUUGCUCUCUUUGAAGAGGAGAGAUUUAAGUUAGAAUUUUCUUUGAAAUUGAAAGUGAAAACAAGCAAAGGUGGUGGUCUAGAGGUAUCAAGAGUGAAGAAUUUCUUGCAAGGAGAAGAGGUAGGGGAGCUAAUCCUUUCUUGAUUAUGAUCAUGAAUAUGAGUAUGAAUGUGUUAAAAUUUGGUAAUGGUAGUUAUAUAUUGACUUGUGUAAAAUUUGGUUUUCAUGAUUAUAAUUUCUUAUUUUCGAGUUACUGUGGUGAAAAAUUUCUAUUAAUUGUUUUCACCGUUGGAU